CUGCCUUCAACCAAAAGAAGGUUCAUUGUUUUGAAGGGAGGGUCCGUGAGAUGUUUAACACCUGCAGUACUUGCCAUUGGCACCUCAUAAGGAAGUUUGUGGAUUAAAUGCACAAACCAGAAGUAACAAUACCGCAGUCGACUAUGCACCAGAUCUUGGACAAAGUCAGCGGAUCCGUUGGGAAUCCGGCUCGGAGUCGUCUGCUGUCUGGGCAAACGGAGAAGGGACGGCCCUUCAAGUACACUACCUUUCGACAGGAACUUCUGAAGAAAUACGUUCUAAGAUGAGAACAUCUGAGACAUAGUUAAUAUUAAAUGAAACGUAACCAAGGUCUCUAUCAAGUCUCCUGAGUGACUUCUGAGUGAUGAAAUCUUCCUCUGGUUCUGAAUAACAAUGUUUAAAUGUCGUAACUAAUACUUUGCAUUUGUACUUUAUUCCAGGCUUCUGUUGUGCCACAAUCCAUAUCAACAGCAUUAAUUAACAAAUCUAAAAUAAUAAACAG